AUUGAACGCUGGCGGCAUGCUUUACACAUGCAAGUCGAACGGUAACAGGCCUUCGGGUGCUGACGAGUGGCGAACGGGUGAGUAAUGCAUCGGAACGUACCCAGAGGUGGGGGAUAACGCAGCGAAAGCUGUGCUAAUACCGCAUGUGAUCUGAGGAUUAAAGCGGGGGACCGAGCAGCAAUGUUUGGCCUCGCGCCUUUGGAGCGGCCGAUGUCGGAUUAGCUAGUUGGUGGGGUAAAGGCCUACCAAGGCGACGAUCCGUAGCUGGUCUGAGAGGACGACCAGCCACACUGGGACUGAGACACGGCCCAGACUCCUACGGGAGGCAGCAGUGGGGAAUUUUGGACAAUGGGCGCAAGCCUGAUCCAGCAAUGCCGCGUGCGGGAAGAAGGCCUUCGGGUUGUAAAACGCUUUUGGCAGGAACGAAACGGUGUCCGCUAAUACCGGGCGCUAAUGACGGUACCUGCAGAAUAAGCACCGGCUAACUACGUG
rnacentral:rRNA from 1 species